UGAGUUACAGUUUGUGAUCAUGUUUAAACAACAGAUGUUGGAUGAUUUACAGCAACAACCGUAAUCUUUGUUUUGUUUUGAAGAAAGAGCCACCGUAAUCUUUCUUUAUGCCACUCAUAAAUGGUUGGUGUUUUUGGUUGAGUGAAGUUUUAAACAAUGGUAUAGUCAAACUUUGAGAUGGUAAAAGCCUUUCUUCCUAUAUAGGUACAGUAAGAAGGUAAAUGCCUCUCAAAAGGCAGGUUUAUGGAAACAGACUUUCAAAAGAACGAACAUGUAAUGCUAAUGUGAAUGCUACUGUUGUGUAUGAUUGUGGCCAUUUAUGAUAGAAAAUACAAUUGCGGUUAAUGCUUGAAAAGUGUGAUGUAAAACAUUGAGGGGA
rnacentral:misc_RNA from 1 species